rnacentral:rRNA from 1 species
AUUGAACGCUGGCGGCAUGCCUUACACAUGCAAGUCGAACGGCAGCACGGGAGCAAUCCUGCUGGCGAGUGGCGAACGGGUGAGUAAAGCAUCGGAACGUGCCCAGUCGUGGGGGAUAACGUAGCGAAAGUUACGCUAAUACCGCAUACGAUCUGUGGAUGAAAGCGGGGGACCGUAAGGCCUCGCGCGAUUGGAGCGGCCGAUGUCAGAUUAGGUAGUUGGUGGGGUAAAGGCCCACCAAGCCGACGAUCUGUAGCUGGUCUGAGAGGACGACCAGCCACACUGGGACUGAGACACGGCCCAGACUCCUACGGGAGGCAGCAGUGGGGAAUUUUGGACAAUGGGCGCAAGCCUGAUCCAGCAAUGCCGCGUGCAGGAUGAAGGCCUUCGGGUUGUAAACUGCUUUUGUACGGAACGAAACGGCGCUCUCUAAUACAGGGUGCUAAUGACGGUACCGUAAGAAUAAGCACCGGCUAACUACGUGCCAGCCGCCGCAGUAACAC